rnacentral:misc_RNA from 1 species
GGCGAUAAACUGGAACCUGAGCAAUUCCGUAAACUUUUCAUUGGCGGCUUAGAUUUCCGUACUACUGAUGACUCUCUGAAAAAACAUUUUGAACAAUGGGGCGAAAUAGUCGAUGUAGUAGUGAUGAAAGAUCCUACCACCAAACGAUCCAGAGGAUUCGGAUUUAUAACCUAUUCGGAAGCUCAUAUGGUAGAUGAUGCACAGGCCGCCCGGCCUCAUAGAGUUGAUGGUAGAGUAGUGGAACCUAAAAGGGCUGUACCCCGACAAGAAAUUGGACGACCUGAGUCUGGUGCAACAGUUAAAAAAUUAUUUGUUGGAGGAAUGAAGGAAGAUGUCGAAGAAGAAGAUUUAAAAGCACACUUUGAAAAAUAUGGAAAUAUUUUAUCUUGUACUAUCGUUACUGACAAAGAAACAGGAAGGAAGAGAGGAUUCGCUUUUAUUGAGUUUGAAGACUAUGAUUCAGUUGAUAAAAUUGUUUUGCAACGUAAUCAUAACAUCAAAGGCAAGCAUGUUGAUGUCAAGAAGGCUUUGAGUAAGGCAGAAAUGGAUCGUUCUGGUGGGGGUGGUGGGCCUGUAGGACCAAGAGGAGGCGGACGUGGAGGUGGUCAAAUGGGAGGUAGAGGGGGUAAUUUCAACCAGGGUGGCAAUUGGAACAGUCGGGGCGGACAAGGCGAUUGGAAUGCACAGGGCAAUAUGGGAUAUGGCGGUGGCGGCCCAAGCGGAAAUAGCGGCGGCGGCCCGUGGAGCCAACAGGGACCUUGGGAUAAUCAAAGCGGUGGAGGCUGGGGACAGCAAGGAGGAGGUUACAGUGCUCCUGGGCCAUGGAAUCAAAGCGGAGGCGGAAGUGCAGGGCAAGAUUCUUUUGGUAACAAUUAUCAACAGAGUUAUGGAGGGGGUGGCCCUAUGAGAAACAAUUAUCAACAACAGAGACCUGCUCCAUAUAAUACUGGAGGUUAUGGAGGUGGAUUUUCGAAUGGUGGCAAUCCAGGUGGCCCCAGGAGGUUUUAAAACAUGUGAGAAAUUGAGACAUGGAUUUGUACAGCUUGUUUCUCUAGUCAUAUUUGGCUAAAAUGGAACAAGAACAAACCUCUCCUUUGAAGAGGUCAAAGUGCCACAUUGAAGAGAUUGUUUACAAAGUUGAGAAAAUUGUUAUGGAUUGGUAAUAAAUCCUGGAAAUGGAACUUGAUUACAGGUGUGGCCAAAACUGAAGAAAUUGCGGAAGAUAUU